rnacentral:miRNA from 1 species
CUGGAUUGGCCAAAACGUUUGUUUGGGUUUUUCUGUAACAGAUAUGGAAAAACCCAAACGAACUUUUUGGCAAAACAA